UUUAUUCUUAAUGACAGCCCUGCUGGGUGAAGUAUUUUUGGCUGAAUAUUUUUCUCAUUUAACACAUUGAAUAUAUAUCAUGCCAGUCCUUUCUGGCCUGCCAGGUCUUUGUGGACAGGUCUCCCGCCAGCCUUAUGUUUCUAUCCUUAUAGGUUAAGGACCUCUUGUCCUGAGCUGCUUUCAGGAUUUUUUCUUGAUGAAAUUUGCAAACUUCACUUUAUGUCAAGUUGUAGACCGAUUUUUAUUGAUUUUGAGGGAGAUUCUCUAUGCCUCCUGGAUUUUGAUGUUUGUUCAUUUUCCAUGUUAGAGAAAUUCUCUAUGUAAUUCAAUUCAGUAUCCCUUUUGGUCCCCCUCCCCCUUCUUCUUCUUCUGGAAUCCUAGUGAUUCUAAUA